GGGCCCGCACAAGCAGUGGAGCAUGUGGUUUAAUUCGAUGAUACGCGAGGAACCUUACCAGGGUUUAAAUGCAGAACGACAGGGGUGGAAACACCCCCUUCUUCGGACGGACUGCAAGGUGCUGCAUGGUUGUCGUCAGCUCGUGCUGUGAAGUGUCGGGUUAAGUCCCAUAACGAGCGCAACCCCCAUUUCUAGUUGCCAGCGGUUCGGCCGGGGACUCUAGAGAAACUGCCAGCGUAAGCUGUGAGGAAGGUGGGGAUGACGUCAAAUCAUCACGGCCCUUACAUCCUGGGCCACACACGUGCUACAAUGGUAGGGACAACAGGUUGCCAACCCGCGAGGGUGAGCCAAUCCCAAAACCCUAUCUCAGUUCGGAUCGCAGUCUGCAACUCGACUGCGUGAAGCUGGAAUCGCUAG
rnacentral:rRNA from 1 species